UGGGGAAUCUUGCACAAUGGGGGCAACCCUGAUGCAGCGACGCCGCGUGAGCGAUGAAGGUUUUCGAAUCGUAAAGCUCUGUCCUAUGAGAAGAUAAUGACGGUAUCAUAGGAGGAAGCCCUGGCUAAAUACGUGCCAGCAGCCGCGGUAAUACGUAUGGGGCGAGCGUUGUCCGGAAUUAUUGGGCGUAAAGGGUACGUAGGCGGUUUUUUAAGUCAGGUGUCAAAGCGUGGAGCUUAACUCCAUUAAGCACUUGAAACUGAAAGACUUGAGUGAAGGAGAGGAAAGUGGAAUUCCUAGUGUAGCGGUGAAAUGCGUAGAUAUUAGGAGGAAUACCGGUGGCGAAGGCGACUUUCUGGACUUUUACUGACGCUCAGGUACGAAAGCGUGGGGAGCAAACAGG
rnacentral:rRNA from 1 species